rnacentral:rRNA from 1 species
AGGACGAACGCUGGCGGCGUGCUUAACACAUGCAAGUCGAGCGGUAAGGCCUCCUUCGGGGGUACACGAGCGGCGAACGGGUGAGUAACACGUGGGUGACCUGCCCUCAGCUCUGGGAUAAGCCUGGGAAACCGGGUCUAAUACCGGAUAGGACUGCUUGCCGCAUGGUGGGUGGUGGAAAGUUUUUUCGGCUGGGGAUGGGCCCGCGGCCUAUCAGCUUGUUGGUGGGGUGAUGGCCUACCAAGGCGGUGACGGGUA